rnacentral:rRNA from 1 species
AGCAUGUGGUUAAUUCGAUGAUACGCAGGAACCUUACCUGGGCUCGAACGUAAGAUGACUGUAGGUGAAAGCUUACAUCUCUUCGGAGCAUUUUACGAGGUGCUGCAUGGUUGUCGUCAGCUCGUGCCGUGAGGUGUCGGGUUAAGUCCCAUAACGAGCGCAACCCUACCUUUAGUUGCCAUCAGGUUAAGCUGGGGACUCUAAAGGAACUGCCUACGCAAGUAGUGAGGAAGGCGGGGAUGACGUCAAAUCAGCACGGCCCUUACGUCCAGGGCUACACACGUGCUACAAUGGCCGAUACAGAGGGCAGCUACCUGGUGACAGGAUGCAAAUCUCCAAAGUCGGUCUCAGUUCGGAUCGGAGUCUGCAACCCGACUCCGUGAAGCUGGAAUCGCUAGUAAUCGCGCAUCAGCCAUGGCGCGGUGAAUACGUUCCCGGGCCUU